ACAUUCCACCAUGAGACUGAACUCCAGUCCGCUGAAGUGUAAUACUGGAAAUAAAUGCACACAGGAGUAUGGCCAGCUCAACCACAAACUGGAUUUGAGCUUAUGAGAUCAUAAAGCCCGAGGUCACAGGUCAUCCCACUGUUUAUUCUACCCACAACGGGGAACGAUGGCGCCAUCAUGAAAGAAAACUGCUUUAGGAACUUAAAGGAAUGAAUGAACCAGGAAUGAAGUCGUAUUGUUGCUCCAGGCUACAGUCUCCCUUCAUAGUCCUCAACCAGAUGAUCAAAAAGGCCGUGAUUUGUCUAUCCCAGGUCCCAGAGAUCUACAUUCUUAGAUUUAUUGUGUGCAGCAACUUCGCCUAGAGGAGUCAAG